rnacentral:rRNA from 1 species
GAUGAACGCUGGCGGCGUGCCUAACACAUGCAAGUCGAACGGAGAUUACGGACGGAAGUUUUCGGAUGGAAGCCUGUAAUUCUUAGUGGCGGACGGGUGAGUAACGCGUGGGCAACCUGCCCUAUACAGGGGGAUAGCAGCUGGAAACGGCUGGUAAGACCGCAUAAGUCGGUUAAAUCGCAUGAUUUGAUCGGGAAAUGAGCAAUCAGGUAUAGGAUGGGCCCGCGUCCGAUUAGCCAGUUGGCAGGGUAAAAGCCUACCAAAGCGACGAUCGGUAGCCGGACUGAGAGGUCGGACGGACACAUUGGGACUGAGACACGGCCCAAACUCCUACGGGAGGCAGCAGUGGGGGAUAUUGCAAAAUGGAGGAAACUCUGAUGCAGCGACGCCGCGUGAGUGAAGAAGUAUUUCGGUAUGUAAAGCUCUAUCAGCAGGGAAGAUGAUGACGGUACCUGACGAAGAAGCCCCGGCUAACUACGUG